rnacentral:lncRNA from 1 species
AGCAAUCUUAGCUUGUCAUCUUAAUUGUAUGUUUGCUUUCCCUGCACUGUGCACAUCCGUAUUUAGAUAGCAAAUUUUGCUCUUGCUCGUUUGAAGGGGAUCCUAUAUCCACGAGACAUAAAGUCGCAGAGCUUCGUGUUGCUUUUCAAAAAGCAACUGCUCUCUGCAAAUAAUCUUUGAUGACUUCCCCAAGUCAACGUCUUCGUCUUAGCUGGGCGCUCAUUCCACUUGCAAGGUACAAAGCACUCAUCGAUCUCUAGUCCAAAUUAAACUCAAGCUAUCAUUGAUCCCUGCUUGUUUGCUCCCUCUUUUUGACCUUUUCCAACUAUAUCCUUGCAGGCGGUGGUGAAAUAAGGUGGAGAGGAGGAGUAGGAGGCGCACUUCUCACUGCGGCUGGCCGGGCGAGCUCGAGCUCCGCCAUGGGCCAGCGCCACCGGACGAGCGAGUUGGGCUGUCACGGCCGGCUGGGUGAGCCAAUCAGCGAAACUAUCCUUCAAAACCAGUGAAUGGCCAAAUGUAAACGGUUUUAGUAGCUUGAUGGUUGAAGAUUUCCUAAUUUUGGAGUUGGAUGGUCAAACAAACUCAGGUGAUAGUUCAAUGGUCAAAAAUAGACUUCCUCCUUAUUAAUUUCCAGCAAUAGAAAAAGUGUCAUGUACGAAGAGAAUGGAAACAGAGAGCCUUUAUGUAUCUAGAAAUAAGUGAAGAUACUUGACUUGCUGAAAUUAAGUCAUACAGGAAGUAC